CUCGGCAGCUCCCCUUAAACGAACUGAGAGGGAUAACUUGGUUGGGUCCGCCCUGCUGGCCGCCCAGUCCCGGACUUCUUUGCUGCAGAGCAAAGCCUUCUCUCAUUCGGGAGGACUCGGGAGGCGAGUCUAGGUGCAAUCCAGGGAGCUCAAGCCCCGGUCCUAGUGUAAUUCUGAGGGCCCGAAUUCGGGUCCGAAUGCAAACCAGGUAAGCAUCUUCUGGGGUUCGAGUGCGAUCUAGGCGAGAAUCCGGAUUCGAAUGCGAUCCUGACAAGCUCGCGCCAGCUUCCCCGCGCAUCCCCGGUGCCCAGUUCAUCCGGCCCAAGUAAUGACCAGGGCCGGGCAGAGGACUAGGGCAGUUAGUCGGAGUGCAGAAGGAUCCCGGCUGCGGGCACGGAUCCUGGAAAGGUCCUUCUACCUGCUGAGGUGUGGAAGUAAAAACAAUCACUCUAGUAAAUCGGGCAGUGCGGGGACUGGGGAGCGGCUAUUGUAUUAGAACGGACACGAAGAAUUACGUCGGCUGGACUAUGGCGAGCAGUGACAGAGCCUGGGUCAGUGAGCUACGGAAAGUAAGAAACGGACCUGCUCCAGGGACCGUUCCAGGUACAGUGGAUGGGAGCAGAAGCUCACUUAGAUUGCACACAGGAAGCAAAGAGCGGAAACGCGCAGCGGGGUGGGAGGUUAGACUUGGGAACAGCCUGGAAGCAACCGGCUGGAUCCGCACCUCCGCCAGCGCCGGGCAAGGGAACGGGAGUCCGGCAGUCCGGAGUCCACCUGUCACCGCCGAUGUUUGAAGCAUCCGACCCGGUGGUAGAAACCGCGGCGCGCAGGCAACAGGUUUGCUCUGGGCGGGACCAAAGGGGAAGACGCGGAGCUCUAUGAGAUUUGGAGGCCCGCGGUUGUGGGGUCCCCGUGCACACCCGCUCUUGCUUCAGACAUUUGC
rnacentral:lncRNA from 1 species